CCUACGGGAGGCAGCAGUGAGGAAUAUUGGUCAAUGGACGAGAGUCUGAACCAGCCAAGCAGCGUGAAGGAUGACUGCCCUAUGGGUUGUAAACUUCUUUUAUAUGGGAAUAAAACGUUCCACGUGUGGGAUUUUGUAUGUACCAUAUGAAUAAGGAUCGGCUAACUCCGUGCCAGCAGCCGCGGUAAUACGGAGGAUCCGAGCGUUAUCCGGAUUUAUUGGGUUUAAAGGGAGCGUAGGUGGAUUGUUAAGUCAGUUGUGAAAGUUUGCGGCUCAACCGUAAAAUUGCAGUUGAAACUGGCAGUCUUGAGUACAGUAGAGGUGGGCGGAAUUCGUGGUGUAGCGGUGAAAUGCUUAGAUAUCACGAAGAACUACGAUUGCGAAGGCAGUUCACUGGACUGCAACUGACACUGAGGCUCGAAAGUGUGGGUAUCAAACAGGAUUAGAUACCCCAGUAGUC
rnacentral:rRNA from 1 species